rnacentral:misc_RNA from 1 species
CCAAACUUGGUCAUUUAGAGGAAGUAAAAGUCGUAACAAGGUUUCCGUAGGUGAACCUGCGGAAGGAUCAUUACAAAGGUUGAUGAAAUGCCAUGUUCCCGGGGCCUCUCCCUUUCUCUCUCUCUCUCGGGGGGGGGGAGGUUAGUGUGUUUUGGGGGCAUGGCAUGUACCAACAACCACGAUCAUCCACCAUGUGCACUCAUUGAACCAUGGGGAUUUAUUUUUUGACCCCUCAUGUUCCAAACCUUUUCUCCAGCCUUACCGUUUGUCUGAACAUUAUCAUUUUUCAAAUGAAAAUACAACUUUCAACAACGGAUCUCUUGGCUCUCGCAUCGAUGAAGAACGCAGC